GAUACAAAUGUUAAAGGUAAAACAGAUACGGAAGCAUAUAAGAUGUUAGACUGGCUGCCGUCCCUAUGUUUGUUCUUAUUUACAUAUAUCAGUUUUCUUCAUUAAGAAGGAAGUAACUCCAGGAGGUUGUUUCUACAUUGAAAUUUUUAUUGCCCCUGGUUCCAAACAUGUAUGGUUCAGCCAUCAGAUAAAAUUGUGCUAUUUUAGAGGCUUAAAAUUUUCUUUCAAAAUGUUUCUAGCAUUUAUAUAAAAAUAACCAUGCAGCCAGAGAGCCAGGCUAAUAAGGAGUCAGCAUUUGCAAUUUAAGGUUUAUCAUUGGAGAGUUACACAUCUCAUUUCUAUACAUCUCCUGUGGAUUUUCCAAAAGACGACCAUGCCAGAAAUGUUUGUCAUUGUUCAAGCACUCACCUACACUAUUGCUGUUUUUUUCCAAUUGCAGUGUGCACUAGAUUAAGUAUGUGAACUUGACAUAUUGUGCCGGCAUGGUUACUUAGACCUAUACUUUCCCGCAUUUUGUACACCCUCAAUCAUUAAAACUGAGUUUAAGUAUUUGUCACAAGACUUCGAAACAUGAAUGUAUACCAGUACAGUCAACCUGCCGUCUUACUCACUUGAGGUGCGUUCAUAGGCCGAGUCAUUAAUGUCGUUUGCUUCCCACCUCUAGGGGUUCGAGUCGUGUUCAGAUCGUCAUGUAAGGAAGUCCAUCGAAAUUGCUUGCUGACUGUUGGUCGUUCUACCCAGCUGCUCAUCCUGUGACUGAAAAAAUGUCGAGUUUUCACCUAUGUUCGAAGCUGGAAGUCAUCUAUAUUAUUUCGGUCUUCCUCUCCGGUCGAAGCCGGAAGUCGUCAAAAUUAUGUCAGGUAUCUCUCAUGGCUGAAGCUGGAACUCGUCUAGAUUAUGUCAGUCUUCAACCAAGAUCGAAGCUGGAAGUCUUUUUAUAUUGUGUCGGUCUUCCGCCAUGAUAGAAAAAGGAAGUCGCCUAAAUUAUAUCGGUCUUCCUCCAUGUUCAAAACUGGAAGUCGUAUAAAUUAUGUUGCUCUUCCACAAAGAUCGAAGCCGGAAGUCGCCUAAAUUAUGUCGAUCUUCCUCCAUAGUCGAAACUUCAGAGCAGGUAAUAGAAAUACAGUAAGAAAUAUAUUCUACAUUCAAGUUUACAACGAUGCUAAGGGAAUCAUUUUACUUAUGUAAAUAUAUCCAUCGCACAAAAACACAAUAGUUUUCAAAAAAUGACGACUGUCCAAAAAUGUUCAUGUCAAAAGAAUAAUAAUAUCAAAAUAAUUAAACAAGUGUUUAAAGUUUAAGGAAGAUAUUUUGGCAAACGAUGAGAAAGAAAUAGUACAGAACACAUCGUGUACCACACGUAUAUAUUUGGCGAAUACUGAUAUUUUUCAAAAUCAUGUCUGACCGAAUUUUCUGAAAAUAAGUAUCUUUAAUCACUUAGUUUGGAUCUACAUAUAGACAUAUUUGUCAAAAUGUGUAAUUGUCCGUCGGAUAGCCAGUCCAGUCAAGAAUCAUGAGACAGGCGAAAGAGACAGAAGAAGGAUAAAACUAUCGUCGUGAUUCUCACAGUCAGUGUGAUUACAUGCAUUGCUGAGAGCCAGUACAAGGCUGAAAUCCCACGUAAUCACUGUAAACCCUGCAACGGUUUCAGUCAUCAAGAACCCAGCGAGUGUCCUCUUCUUAGAAAUGACACUUUUGCCAUUGUUGGACAACUUCGACCAUUGUUAGGCAAUAUAAAAGACGAUCUACAGGCAGAAAUAGACAUUUUGAAAAAUUUUCUAGGAGCUGAUGUUAAGAAUUAUGAACCGUAUAAAAUAGGAGACCUGGAAGACAUCAAACAUUCAUCUAUUUCCCAACACUUACGAGCAAAAAAUAAAGUUGAGGAGAUUAUUCAUCAUUCCUACGGGCAGACGAUGCUUCUCAUAGCUUAUAUCAACCUAUAUGAAGAUAUGGUAAAAGGUCAAAACGAUUUCAGAGAGAACCCAAAAGCACAACAACGUUUAUUCGUGACAAGUUAGAAAAGCUAUCGUGCAAACUUUAUCAUUUUACAUUUAGACUUGGCGUUGCAAAAAUAAAGAGAAAACUUUGUAAAUAUGUCGAAACUAAAACGUUCUCAAAUGUGAGCAAAGAAAAAGAUUACAUUAUUGCUGUAUUGCAAUGGGGCCAGAAAAGUUUUGAUGCUAUGAUUAAGAACAUAGAAAGUUUGGACAGUGACAGCAUCACUGAGAAAUGCAAAUACGAAUGUUUAGAUGGAAAAAGAACAAUCAGAUGCGAAGAGUACAAGAAAGAACUAAGAAGUGGGCUUGGAAAUAAGCGCAAACGCAACAAAAAUAAGAAAAACAGGAACAAAGGCAAACGGAGGAGAAAUAACAAAAAAUGCAGGAAAAAUAACAAAUCUGAAAAAGAUAAAAAACGCCGUUGUAGAAACAAGAAAAGAAAUAAGAAAAGAUCUCACAAGAAAAGAAAUAUGUGCUUCAAAUGCAACUGAUGUUUUGAAAGAUAAUAUUUAUUAUAACAAAGGAAUACUCAGAAUUGUCGAAUCUCAGUGAUACUUUUGGACGAAAUUUUUGCCAAUCACCUUGAUCUCAUUCAUUUCAAGCAUGGAUACAAGUCACUUAAAGUAAAAUAAGAAUGAAUGUGCACAUUGGUUACGAACACUAGGAAUGUAUACAUUUUUUUCAUCUUAAACAUUUGAUUCGAGUGUUUAUUGAAUUUGAUACUUUGUGGGUCAGACAAUUUGCUUUAUGUACGGUUUACUAGUUAUACAUUGUUUACCAUGGUCUGUCAUAUUGUAAAGAUAUCAAAAACAUAAAAAAAAAGAGUGGAAAGUAUGUGAGUGCAUGCAAAAGUAUCAUUCAAUGUGCUUUUUUCUUCUUCUUUUGUGUGUAAGUUACAGAUGUGCAUGAAAUGUACAGCAAGUAUGAACAUAAUCAUUCUAAUUUAUUUUCAUGUCAUGUAUGUUCUUUGAUAUUGUUCAGUUCUGUCUCAAGAUCUUGUUAGAUUGCCAUGUUGAACAUGGCAGCAUUCCAUAACAGGAAAUGCAUAGAGUCUCUUCUGGUGUGAUCUAAUGAAUUAUCAUCAUAUAUAUUACUGUUCAACUAUUUUUAAAUUCCUGUACAGGUUGUGUUCAGAUUAUUUUCAUUGUAAGAGUUUGUUUUACAUUUUAUUUAUUACUUUUACACAGGAAGAGUCGCAUUUAGAGUGUUCUACAUGUUCAAACACUUCAGUUGUAUUUUAUUUGUCGAAGGUUGUUAUGAAUAAUAUCCGUCCACCAUAGGUUGUCUCAGAUGUAAAUAUAUAAACUUUUAUCAUAUAUGAAAUAAUAUUUGCAUUACAGGUUAUGCAUUUUCACGAAAUAUUAUACAAGUCAAGUUAACAUCUCUCAAUGUAUUCAGUGCUUUUUUUCUUUUAUAUGACUAUUUUAAUCAUAACACGUACCAUAUUGUAUUAUAUUUAUGUUUAUAUUUCUUUAAGAAAUAAAUAAAUGCAUUAUU
rnacentral:lncRNA from 1 species